rnacentral:tRNA from 1 species
AAGUAAGAAGCGAAAAUUUGCAUUCAGUUUCGACCUGACUUUUGAUAACCUAUUAUCCUUACUUA